CAUGGAUUGUGUCUCACUCAUGGCUAUUUGCAGCCCCUAAGGAGAGCCUGCUUUCUCCACCACACCCUAUCCUUGCCCAGGUACAUGAGAAGCUGGGGUCAGAGCUGCCAGGCCUGGAGCCAGCCCUGCAGGUGGACCUGGUGUGGGCCCUGUGUGUGCUGCAGCAGGCACGGGAAGCAGAGCUGCAAGCUGUCCUCCACCCUGAAUUUCACAUCCAAUUUCUAGGGGGCAAGUCUCAGAAGGAUCAGAACACCUUCCAGAAGCUGCUCCACAUCAACGCCACUGCCCUGCUGGAGUACCCCGAGUACUCCGGUCCCCUUCUGCCUGCCUCGGCUGUGGCCCCUGGGCCCUCAGCCCUUGACAGGAAGGUGACCCCCCUGCAAAAGGAGCUGCAGGAGACGCUGAAGGGGCUGCUGGGGAGCGCCGACAAGGGCAGCCUCGAGGUGGCCACGCAGUAUGGCUGGGUGCUGGAUGCUGAGGUGCUGC
rnacentral:sRNA from 1 species